UACGAAGGGAGCUAGCGUUGCUCGGAAUGACUGGGCGUAAAGGGCGCGUAGGCGGCGCAGUUAGUCAGGCGUGAAAUUCCUGGGCUCAACCUGGGGACUGCGCUUGAUACGGCUGUGCUUGAGGAUGGAAGAGGCUCGCGGAAUUCCCAGUGUAGAGGUGAAAUUCGUAGAUAUUGGGAAGAACACCGGUGGCGAAGGCGGCGAGCUGGUCCAUUACUGACGCUGAGGCGCGACAGCGUGGGGAGCAAACAGG
rnacentral:rRNA from 1 species